GACGAACGCUGGCGGCGUGCUUAACACAUGCAAGUCGAACGAAGAGCGACGGAAGCUUGCUUCUAUCAAUCUUAGUGGCGAACGGGUGAGUAACGCGUAAUCAACCUGCCCUUCAGAGGGGGACAACAGUUGGAAACGACUGCUAAUACCGCAUACGAUCUAACCUCGGCAUCGAGGAUAGAUGAAAGGUGGCCUCUACAUGUAAGCUAUCACUGAAGGAGGGGAUUGCGUCUGAUUAGCUAGUUGGAGGGGUAACGGCCCACCAAGGCGAUGAUAAGUAGCCGGUCUGAGAGGAUGAACGGCCACAUUGGGACUGAGACACGGCCCAGACUCCUACGGGAGGCAGCAGUGGGGAAUCUUCCGCAAUGGACGAAAGUCUGACGGAGCAACGCCGCGUGAGUGAUGACGGCCUUCGGGUUGUAAAGCUCUGUUAAUCGGGACGAAAGGCCUUCUUGCGAAUAGUGAGAAGGAUUGACGGUACCGGAAUAGAAAGCCACGGCUAACUACGUG
rnacentral:rRNA from 1 species